AACGUGGUCCACAGCUAGUGUUUUGUGUUGUCAUCGCUCUGAAAAGACAAAAUACCUCUCGAAUUGUCGUCUAUGUAGUUAAUAGGAAUCGUAGUCGUCAUCAUAAAAUGUGUGAAUUUACUGUUGCAUAUCCCGUGCAGAGUCUGCAAGUGCUUUCCGAUAUGCGACUAGCAGUGGGCCACCAGAGUGGCUUCACCGUCUAUUGUUUGCAGGGAGAGGCUCAAGCGAUGCGUAUGGGUGGGUUUAGACUAGUGAUAUAUUCAUGUGAAGAAAUAUGAUGAGAUUUAUAGAAAUCGCAUCAUCCGUUUACACUAGCGUGAACUUCUAUAAUGAAUAUAUUCAUAUCUUCGGUGAAAUUAUUCACCUGAAGUAGAACUGCAUCCAACUUUAGUGAUUUCUCACCAGUGAGAAAUUCACAAGCGUUUACAUGUGCUGAAUUUAUUCAAGUUAUAUAUACCUCGAAUAAGUGUAUCAUAUUUAUUCUCACCCGUUUACACCUAUUUUCACGUGAAUAAAUCCAUCUAUAGCUAUAGAUCUCCCUAAUGUAAACCCGCCAUAAGAUAAAACUAACUAUGAAAGAUGAUUUCCACGUUUAAAACGUGUUUUAUUCACAGCUCUUGUUCAUCCGGAGAAUCAAUUGAAUAAUUUUCUUGCGUAUUCCGAAGUCGACGCUUGGCGUGUUAUAGAAAUACAAUCCGGACAAGGUUCCAGUGCCCACGGAGAGUAUCUGCUAGUAUUUCAAACGUUAGCUAUUUAUGUCGAUUUGCAAGGCCGAAAGUCUCGAGACUGAGAAAUUAUGUACCCGGUCAUACCCACCAAUAUAACUGUCCCAGCAGAACUGUCAACACGUAACCUCCACUAGUUUAUUGUCAGAAAAAUCUCACAAAUACCCCGAUCAACCAUCACAACCAGAGCUAGUACUCACUCCAUCAGCAGCAGCAACCUCAUACCUACAGUAACCAACAGCAGGUGCAUCUGAUGAAUCACUCCAACUACUCGAUGGAAAGCGAGGAGGGUGAUGUGGAAGAUAUCCGAGGUCAUUCAUUAUCUAGUUCGAAGAUUAAUCUAAGUGAUCAUUCGCUGUAUGCAUAGCGUAAUGAUGCCGAAGCAGGAGGUUCAUCAGUUCCUUGUGCGUACGUUCUCUAGUCCCACUAAGUGUAACCACUGCACCUGAUAGUUGGUGAUCGUGAGUUGUGUGGUUUCGCUUGCCACAUGAUCUGCUGCCAGAAGGUGCCCACGCAGUAUCCUGUGCGAUCCGAUCAAACCAAACGGCCGCUCGGUAUUGAUCGGACCCGACAGAUACCGCGUACGAGGGCUACGUGAAGGUGCCCAAGCUAGGGGCGGUCAAGCGAGACUGGGUUCGACAGUUUGUUGUUGUUUGUGAUUUUAUGCUAUUUCUGUACGACAUCUCAACAGAUCGCAGUGAUUUACCAAGUGUUGAUGUUACUCAGGUAAGGGAUUUUUUUCAGAUGAAUAAUGAUGUGUCAUGUUUUCUGCUUCUCUACCACAGGAUAUGAGAGAUCCUGAAUUUGCGGUGUCUGGAGUUUGCGAAUGUGACGUUAUUCAUGCAGCUGAGAAAGACGUUCCUUGUAUCUUUAGGGA